GAUGAAGAACGUAGCGAAAUGCGAUACUUGGUGUGUAUUGCAGAAUCCCGUGAACCAUCGAGUCUUUGAACGCAAGUUGCGCCUCAAGCCAUUAGGUUGAGGGCACGUCUGCCUGGGCGUCACAUAUCGUUGCCUGAUGCCAGUUUCCUCGUGAUGGGUGACUGUGCAGGGCGAAUGAUGGCUUCCCGUGAGCAUUGUUGCCUCAUGGUUGGUUGAAAAUUGAGUCCUUGGUAGGGAGCGCCGUGAUAGAUGGUGGUUGAGUGACGAACGAGACCCAAUCAUGUGAGACCCCUACCGAAUUUGGCCUUCAUGACCCACAUGCGUCUUUGGAACGCUCAUGACGAGACCUCAGGUCAGGCGGGGCUACCCGCUGAGUUUAAGCAUAUCAUAAGCGGAGGA
rnacentral:misc_RNA from 1 species